UACGAAGGGGGCGAGCGUUGUUCGGAUUUACUGGGCGUAAAGCGUGCGCAGGCGGUUCGUUGUGUCCGUCGUGAAAGCCCCGGGCUUAACCUGGGAACUGCGAUGGAAACUAGCGAGCUGGAGUGUGGCAGAGGGGGGUGGAAUUCCGCGUGUAGCAGUGAAAUGCGUAGAGAUGCGGAGGAACACCGAUGGCGAAGGCAGCCCCCUGGGCUAACACUGACGCUCAGGCACGAAAGCGUGGGGAGCAAACAGG
rnacentral:rRNA from 1 species